rnacentral:lncRNA from 1 species
AUCAUCUCUCUCCUCGUCACCUUCUCUCUCCUGAUCGUCUCGCGUGCCCAAUUGGACGGUGCAGAUCCUCUGAUCAGGCAAGUGGUGGAUGUCUGUGGGAACAGUUUGAGAAAUGAAUAUUGCCUUUAAUUAGGUCAUCAUAAAUAAAGGCAAAUCCCCAAUCAAGGUUAUCCAAGCAGCUGUCAUUUUAGAGAAAGAGUAUUGCCCUUAAUCAUGUCGUCAAGUGACAUAUCCAAAGCAGAAUACAGAAAGCAAAAGAAAGAAGCGGAGAGACAGAAAGAAAAGCAAGAAAAGCAAGUGGGUGGUGUCAAGGCUGUCUAGGCAGCUAUUACGUUUUACAGGAGAACAUGCAGAAAGCUGAGAAAGACGAAAGCAAAAGCAAAAAGAAAAGGGAAAUGGCAUUAUUUCUUGUCUAUCAUCUGCCAAAAGAAAGAAAAAUAAAGAGAAAGCAAAAGAGAGGCACAUGGGGACACUGCAAAAGCAAGGAAUAAAAACCCCACCAGAAAGAUGUGAUUUACUUUUCUUAUUUUUGAAUGAUGUAAUUUAUUUUUCGUAUCUUUUGGAGAUAUUAGUAUAACCCAAUCAGAGGGUAAAAAAAAAACGGCAAACCCCAAAAUAAAUGGGCUGGAAUGUUAUGUAGAGGGCGAAAGCUCAUAAGCCCAAAAUAGCACCAACCAGGUGACCAAAACUACGUCCAGUACUACAAAAAUUAUUCGGCACCCUACCGCUAUUAUCACCAACCAGGUGACCAAAAGUACGCCUAGUACUACAAAAAAUUAUUCGGCACCCUGCCACUAUUAUCGCCACCCAGGUGAUCAAAAAUACGCCCAGUACUCCAAAUUAUUUGGCAGCCUGCCACUAUUAUCACCAACCAGGUGAUCAAAAGUAUGCCCAGUACUUCAAAUUAUACAUGAGCAUUACUCAUAUCAAUCAUACAUAAACAUUCAUGAGCAUCAAUCAUACAUAAACAUUCAUGAGCAUCACUCAUGUCAACAUCCAUGAGCAUCACUCAUGUCAACAUUCAUGAGCAUCACUCAUGUCAACAUCCAUGAGCAUCACUCAUGUCAAUUAACAUAAACAUUGAUGAGCAUCACUCAUGUCAACCAGCUUCAAAAGCUUCAUUUACAGAGCUUUAGCUUCAAAAGCUUCAUUUACAAAAGCUCCAGCUUCAAAAGCUUCAUUUACAGAGCUCCAGCUUCAAAAGCUUCAUUUAUAGAGCUCUAGCUUCAAAAGCUUCAUUUACAGAGCUCUAGCUUCAAAGCUUCAAAAGCUUCACCUACAAAGCUUCAGUGCAGGGUAUACAAAUACUGCAUCCGAACAACCGCCACUUCGGCCCAUACAUGGAUUCAAUUUGAAGUCUCCAGCCAACAAACUCUAUUGACCGAAGACUUGGGGGACUACAUUAUGUACCAUAUAUUGGGCCUCAUGAAAAAUACUUGGGGGACUUAGCCCAUUAUUUAUAUACUGAGGAACGAGCCCUUAUUCUAUAAAAUGGACUCUCUCACUUUCGUUAGAAAGCACUCAUCGCUUAUGUAUUAAGGAGCGAGCCCUUAUUUUAUAAAAGGGACUUCCUCACCAUCAUUAGAGAGCAUCAACUCUAGCCCAUCAUUUAUGUAUUGAGGAGCGAACCUUUAUUCUAUAAAAGGAACUCCCUCAUCAUUAUUAUAGAGCAUCGCUGCCUGCUGAGCAAUCGCCUCACCACGAGCAUCAACUAUAUCCCAUCAUUUAUGUAUUGAGGAGCGAGCCCUUAUUCUAUAAAAGGGACUCCCUCAUCAUUAUUAGAGAGCAUCGCUGCCUGCUGAGCAACCGCCUCACCGCGAGCAUCAACUCUAGCCCAUCAUUUAUGUAUUGAGGAGUGAGCCCUUACUUUAUUAAAGGGACUCCCUCACCAUCAUUAGAGAGCAUCGUCGCCUGCUGAGCAACUGCCUCACCGCGAGCAUUAACUCUUGCCCAUUAUUUAUGUAUUGAGAAGCGAGCUCUUAUUCUAUAAAAGGGACUCAUUCACCAUCAUUAGAGAGCAUUAACUCUAACCCAUCAUUUAUGCAUUGAGGAGCGAACCCUUAUUUUAUAAAAGGGACUCCCUCACCUUCAACGCCACAAGCCGAGCCAACCAAGGCAACACAAACAGAGCAACCUCACAACAUGUGCUACUUCUAGUUGAGCAUCAUUUUAGAUUGGGCACCGCCUCAUAUCGAGCAUCAAUUUUAGACGACAUCUAGUUACUUCGGUCCACACAUGGAAUGAAUUUCAAGUCUCCAGCCAAAAAACUCUCUUGACUGAAGACUUGGGGGACUACUGUUUGUACCAUACUUAGGGCCUCCGUGUUCAGAUCUCGUAUAAAUACUUGAGGGACUCAAAUGUAAUUAUGUAAUAAAGAAAAGGGUAAAUAUGUAAUAAGUGAGGAACCCUUAUUCUAUAAAAGGAACUCUUCAUCCUCACAACGGGGGAGGCGAAUUCCUAGGCCAUGAGGAUCCUCACACUCUCUCAUUCACAAUCCUACCAGAAAUACAAUAAUUAGUGUGGACGUAGCCCAAACCUUGGGGUGAACCACGAUACAUCUUGUGUUAUUUACAUUUCUUGCAGAUUCAUGGUCGGAUUUACGUUGUUCCAAGACCUCCGGUUUUGUGCAU